GCCAGUGUGGCGUAGUGGUUUGAGGGUUGGAUUAUGUCUCUAGAGACCAGGGUUCAAUUUCCAGCUUGAGCA